UGAAAAAAUAAGCCGGGGUGCCGAUUUAUCGGUAACGGCGGGAAAAACGGCUAAGGUUUCGGCUAUGCCCGAGUAUCCCUGAAAAGUGCCACAGUGACGAUACUCAGUUGGAAACGACUGAGUUGGAACGCGGUAAACCCCGCGAGCGGGCAACCCAAACUACGGUAGGGGCGCUUCACAUAUGGAAUUGAACUGAAUGUGGGGGGAGAUUUGUAAUCUCGAGAUAGAUGAUUACCGCCUAGUUAACAGA
rnacentral:RNase_P_RNA from 1 species